rnacentral:rRNA from 1 species
GCUCCAGACUCCUACGGGAGGCAGCAGUGAGGAAUAUUGGUCAAUGGGCGUAAGCCUGAACCAGCCAAGUCGCGUGAGGGACGACGGCCCUACGGGUUGUAAACCUCUUUUGCCGGGGGACAAACGGCGGCACGCGUGCCGUCCUGAGGGUACCCGGAGAAAAAGCAUCGGCUAACUCCGUGCCAGCAGCCGCGGUAAUACGGAGGAUGCGAGCGUUAUCCGGAUUUAUUGGGUUUAAAGGGUGCGUAGGGGGAGCGUUAAGUCGGGGGUAAAGGCCCGGGGCCCACCCCCGGCGAGCCGUUGAAACUGGCGGGCUGGAGUUGGAGAGAAGUACGCGGAAUGCGCGGUGUAGCGGUGAAAUGCUUAGAUAUCGCGCAGAACCCCGAUUGCGAAGGCAGCGUACCGGCUCCACACUGACGCUGAGGCACGAAAGCGUGGGUAUCGAACAGGAUUAGAUACCCCCGUACGC